UUUUCUAAAGGAUAAAAGCCGUCCACUAAUCUUAGGAAUUAGCCUAUCUUGGUGCAAUUCCAAGUGGAAAUG